rnacentral:pre_miRNA from 1 species
GAUUUCAACUGAAAAAGUCAUCAAUAACAAAGUUGUAUAACUCAUCAAGAUCUAUAACUUCUAUUUUGGUCAUUUCUUCAUCCGAUAAAGUGAUUUGUAAGAUUGUUCACAAAAUGUACAUCUCUUAUAUACAUUUUGUGAACGAUCUUAUAAAUCAAUUUAUCGGAUGAAGAAAUGACCAAAAUAGAAGUUAUAGAUCUUGAUGAGUUAUACAACUUUGUUAUUGAUGACUUUUUCAGAUGAAAUU